UAAAAAUUUAGUUGUUUAUUAAAUUAAGAAAAAUAUUAUUUUAUUAUUUUAUAGAAAAAAUUUAAUUUUAUUAUAGUUUAAAAGUAUUGAAAAAGAAAUUUUUAAUUUUUAAAAAGAAAAAUUUAAUUUUUGUACCUUGUGUAUCAGGGUUUAUUAAAUUAAUAAAAAUAUUUUUAUUUCUCGAAUUUAAAAGAUCUAAUAAAUUAUGAUUAUUAUUAUAAAAUAACUAAAAUUUAAUAUUUUAUUAGUAAUGAAAUGUUUUUCGUUUUUAAAUAUAUCUAGUUUUUUAAGAAAUUAAUUUAAUUAAUUUAUUAUAAAUAUAUUUUUGUUUAAAUAAUUUUAUAUUAAUAAUAAAAAAUAUUUUUAGGGAUUAGCUUAAAAUUUGAUUUUUAUUAAAAAUUUAAAAAAUUAUAAAAUUAGGAUUAAAAAUUUCCAAAUUUUAAAGUAUGUUAUUAUUUAUUAUGGUGUAAUAAUUUUUUUAUUUUUUAUAAAUAUUUUAUUAAAAUAUAAAUUUAAAUUUUAAUGAUUUAGAAAUUAUGAUAGAAUUAGUAAAUUAUGAUGUAAAAUUUUAAUAUUUAUUAGAUUUUAUAAAGGAAUUCGGCAAAUUAUUUUUUACCUGUUUAUUAAAAACAUGUCUUUUUGUAAAAAUAUAAAGUCUAACCUGCCCUAUGAAAAUUUAAAUGGCCGCGGUAUAUUAACCGUGCUAAGGUAGCAUAAUCAUUAGUUUUUUAAUUGAAAGCUGGAAUGAAGGGUUGGAUAAAAAAAUAACUGUCUCUAUAAAAAUGAUUGAAUUUUAUUUUUAAGUUAAAAAGCUUAAAUUUUUUUAAAAGACGAGAAGACCCUAUAGAGUUUAAUAUAAAAUAUAAUUAUUUUUUUUAGUAUUUAUUUAAAUAAUUAGAUUUUAUAUUUAGUUGGGGUGAUUGAAAAAUUAAAUAAACUUUUUUUGUAUAAAAAUAUAUUUUUAUAAAUUAUUGAUCCAAAAAUUUUGAUUAUAAGAUAAAAUUACCUUAGGGAUAACAGCGUAAUUUUAUUAGAGAGUUCUUAUUGAUAAUAAAGAUUGCGACCUCGAUGUUGGAUUAAAAUUUAUAAUUGGUGCAGAAGCUAUAUUAUUAAGUCUGUUCGACUUUUAAAAUUUUACAUGAUCUGAGUUUAAACCGGUGUAAGCCAGGUUGGUUUCUAUCUUUAAUAAAUUUAUAUAUUUUAGUACGAAAGGACCAAUUAUAUAAAUAAUAUUUUAAAAUUGAAUAAU
rnacentral:rRNA from 1 species